GCCGCUGCCGCCGCCGCCACCCAACUAAGCCUCGCCGCUCACCAGAGCCCAUCCUCGCUGCUCGCCGGCUACACAUGCGCAGCCUCCUUCUCCCAGGUCGAUUCCCCUACAGCCGCCGUACUCCCGCACCCCCAGUCGCACCCAUGCGCAAACCCUAGCGCUCCCCUGCCGGCCGGCGCCGACGACGAUGCAGAAUGCCCUCGCUUGGCUUCUGCUCCUUCUCCCCUACCUCCUAUGUCAAGUAUGGCCCUCCUCGUCGGUCGUCCGGUCCGGGGACAUGGAAGCCGACCUGCUGCUCGCCUCCGACGAGGGGCGACCUCCUACGUGCCGGCAUUCUCCUCUUCUCCGACCACCACGCGCGACCUGGCCUCCCUGGCUUGGGAUGGACUCCCUGACAUGGACACGCAGCAGUGGCUGAGGCUCAAUCCGGCACGCGCGGGAGAUGGAGGCUCUCAUCCAUGUCUCCGAUCCAUCCGCCUCAAGCUCACCCGUCUUCGCUAUUGAGCAGGAGAAGCUCCUUGGAUGGUGGCGACCACAGUGGCGCUCACACUAGCGUUGAUGCCACGUCACACACCCUACUGCCGGGCCUCUCCGCCGCCCGGACUGAGAGACAGGAGGCGGUCAAAUUACCUCUGCCCCACAGUAGAUGUAGCUGGCCAACAAGCUGCAGCCCUGGGACCCUCAUUGGUGUCAUUGGAGCCUGCACUGUGCGCAAGCGCAUCUGGGUAUCCUAGAUGUCUCCGGCUCUGGCUGCAUUCCCGUCUCCAAGCCAGCCUCCACCGCCAACCUCGAGUUCAAUGGCAACAGUUGUAUGGGUGUUAUGUUGGUGCGAGACAGAUAGAUUGAGCAGACACAACUCAUCGGCGGGUGCCGACCACAGCCAUGCUCUUGGUAUCGGCACAGCCACUGCACCAUGUGCCCUCCUGCUUGCUACCCUGCCCUGGCCUAGUUGAUGAGCCAAGGUCGUCUGAAGCUUGGAGUUGCCAUCCACUCGGUGGCGACUGGGCAACCUCCUCCCCAUGAAGCCUUUCACAAUGCCCGGCUCCGUCCUCGCCAACAACAAGGCCACGAGAACGCUCUACAUGAUUGGAUUUAGGAUAGGACCAAUCUUCCAUGUACCUAUCAAUAAUCACGUACAUAAUCUUCUUAUAUGUCAGUGCUUUAGACUAAGAAGUGGCGUUACCCAUAGAUUUUGCUCCAGGAGAAAUUUACCUGUAUCUCGACUCCGCGUUAUUGUGUCACUGUGGCAACAGUGUCAAUUUACAGCCUUCUCAUCAUCAACAAGUCCGGUGGCCUUAUAUACUACAAAAGGACUAUGGUUCGGCUGGGAGAAUGGACAACAAUGACAGUCUACAAUUUGCAAGCCACUCACAUUUGAUGCAUGCUGUCUUGCAUCAGCUGUCCCCUACCAUGGUUGUAAUGGCAUUAACAUCUUACAGGCUGCAGCUUCAACCUUCAUUGCUUCCAUUCUCCCAUAAGUAUUCACUUUUGUCAUGUUUCUCUUCUUCUUAUAGAAAUGGAGUGUUAACAACCUGAACAUCUUUCUAGGACUAUGGUUCGGCUAGGAGAAUGGACACCAACGACAGUCUACAAUUUGCAAGCCACUCACAUUUGAUGCAUGAUGUCUUGCAUCAGCUGUCCCCUACCGUGGUUGUAAUGGCAUUAACAUCUUACAGGCCUGCAGCUUCAACCUCCAUUGCUUUCAUUCUCCCAUAAGUAUUCACUUUUGUCAUGUUUCUUCUAAUUUGCUUAACAGAUCCUAUCUACAUGCUAUAGGUAGUUUCAAUAUUUUUUAUUUGGAGAGGAUUCCAUAUAUUAGUGGACUCAUGAAGUAUAGGAAAAUCCUAGCGCUCUCUAUCUUACCAUUUUACUCCUUAUCUGUGCUAAGGUUAUGUUUUAGACACCAAUUCUUAUAAUUAAUAUGCAGUUCUAGCAAUAUUAUCAAAGCAUCUUCUAUGAAGGUAUUGCUAUUAAUGCCGGCCUUACAAAGGCUUAGGAACAGAAAGGUUUUGUCUUUGGCUUCCAUGGUGGCGGCAGCCUGACCGAAUGGACCAUGUAGAUCCGAUGUUGCCAGCCGAUAAGCCGCAGCCCUUGGACCCUCGGGCCCUGACUGUCUGCGAGCAUUAGGAGUUCAAUCGUAAACCAGGUGUUAGAAGACAUCACCAAAACUGAUUCGUGGUACCCGUACGCAGACAUUCGGAAGGGAUAAAGAAAAUAGUUAAAUUACCCGAGCCACAUGGAAAUUGAACUUGUCAUGUCAACAAUUCUGGUGGACGGGGGUCUGUCUUUGGGCAUCAAGAUGGAGAAGCUUUGUUCAACGUUGUGAGAGGACUUGACAAUAUUCAGGGUGCGCUCCAAGCUGAGAUUAUGGCAGCAAGGAAGGCUAUUAGCAUCGGAAUUAACCUAGGAGAUCUAUUUCUAACGGUUACAUUGUUGGGAGAUGCACGAUGUUCUUCGGAAGAUCCUCCUUCCAACAACCAAGCUAGAGAAGUUCAGUGAGGAACCAUCUCAAUGAUGUCACUUGCCCUCGGCUUCACCUACUUUCGGCUUCGCCUCUGUCCUGGCUGCACGGUAUAGGUGUGAUUCUUCUUCACCCCUCCUUGUGUGCCAACAACUUUUCAUUUGAGAAAACACAAUCAAUAUAUAUUAUUGAAUAAUGGUGCCAAUAAGACAAUACCACAUGCAAAAGUAUCAAUACUCAUACACAAACAAUUGAGAGAAUUGACUGCCAAUUCUAAAGGGGGAUGAACUACCUUUUCCAGAAACCUAUUACAAAUCUGUAUCGAAAAAACAUAGUACAACCGUGCUAUCUAUCCAAAAAAAAUAACUUUCAAGCCUUUUUAGUAAUGGCAAUACAUGUGCAACAGACAAACAAAUAAGAAAUCUACAAAUGAUCCUGCUAUGUGAUUUAAAAAUUCUUUGGUGCAUGAUUUAAAAAUUAUAUCAUUUUGGCUGCCCAAGAGUCGCACUGUCAAUGCCUUGGUGUAUGAUUUCUCUAAACAUUGGAAAUGGCCAGGUUCAUGAGUAUGCUUCUUUUUUGCAUCAUUUGUGAACAAUUAAAUUGCACAAUUGACUGGUUUCCUCUCAUAUUUGGAUACAUCCAGAUAAUUGAAAGCCACCAUGUUGCAUUACAAUGUACAAUCUAUUAUUGUACUUUUAAUUAUCAAGGUGGCUAUAAUUUCUAUUACUAGAAUCUCCAGAGAUUGCUUCCUUCUAUGGAUGCUCCAUAAAAUUUAGCAUUACAGUUUUAUGGAUGGUUUAUAGAAUUUGUUGUUGGAACUUAAACAUGGUACAAAUGACACUGAAUGGUUGUUUUUAUUGCAUGGUUGUUUUUUUAGUUUCCGUGAUUACUAUAUAUAGUGAUAACUGAUAUAUAAAACCCCGCUUUGUUGUGGUGCAUCAGUUCUGCAUAUAUUAAAGAUAGAUUCUCAUGGCCUUUUAUAUUCCAUAGUUGUGUCAAUAUAUGGCAUGUGCUAAAGAAAUAAAAUUCCUUUAUUUUCCCAUCUUUAAACAAUUAAUAGGUCAGUGGUUCAUGAGAAGAUGGAUGGAUGUUGUGUUAUGUUUCUUGCCAUUUUUUGUGAUGCUUAGUAGUACUGUGUGAUGGAUCUAGCAGCAAGUAGCAGAACCCCCAUGAUGCAAGCACUGAUUUCUUGUAUUGUAUACCAGUGUGUGUCAUCGAAGCAAGCAAGCAGUAUUAAGGUAGUUUGCAAGCCUACUGUCGUUUAGGCACAAAAGAUUGUUUAAAAUUCAGGAUGGAGCCCAGGUCGCAUUUAUGGUGGCAUCGCCUCUUAUACCAAGGCGUAGUCUUGCUUGGACAGUACGAUGUUCCACAUUGUUUGCUUAUAUGUGUUUACUUAUGGUGGUAUAUAUAACUUGUUAUGCUCUAAUCAUUUGAUGGUCACUGUUAUUCACCGAAGUUGCACAUUCGUGAAGAGUACUUCGAGACUGUAGCUUUGAAGUUUUGACCUUUUUUCGGUCUCUCAGAAAUUAUGUUGCGCAGGUAGAACUAGUAGAUGAUAUGGAUUGCAAGUGAUAUUCUUCUUGUUGUUUUUAUCUAGAGACAUUUGCACAAAUUCUGGGUACCUACAUAAUCGAAAUAUUUCUUUAUAUAUCCGAUGAGGUUUUGUUCCUAGAGAUAGUAGAGCUAUUUUUCUGUCAAGACGGGAAUGCAUUACUUGUUAAAACAGAAUCAUCUCGUUUCUGCUUUAUGGUUGCUUGUCUAGCUAGUUGGACGCCACUGGUAAUCAUAAUGUGGUUUCGUCUCUCUCAAACAACCCAUAGAUAUUUUCUUGUCGGUCAUGUUAUAUACUAGUAGCUCAAGUGACACAGGUCUUGAUUGUGAAGAGUAGCCCAAGAAGUGAUAUUUCCAUCUUGUUUUCUCCUCCUUUUAUUGGUCACAAAGUGACAAAACCAACUAAUGGAGAGGCAGUAAUGCUGGUGUAUUAGCGAGUUGAUAACUGGUUAGAUGCAUACUUUAUAUUUUUGUAUGGAAGCAUGAUGUGUGAAACUAUGAUGUGGUCAAUCUUAAAUUGUUGAGCUAUAUUUUCCACCGUAUUUAUGCAUGGUUGAUGUAUUAAGCGUUCCCUAGGGAUAGAUGUUAUCCGAGGUGGUGAUUUUCCGUGUUAGUUAUGUUAAACUUUACAGGCUCCUUAGCUGAAAUAUCAAUUAUAUUGUCUUGGUUGAUAUAUAAAGCAUUACCUAGGGUCGAUGUUAUUGGGGGUGGAGAUAAUUUUCCCCUUAUCUUGCCUCUUUCUAUUUCAUGCUGUUGGCGCCAAGGGGACCUACUGCAAGAGGCAAAUGAUCACUUACGGCAACAAAUGCGGUCUCGGCCCUGGCUACAAAUCCCUGAUGGUGAACCCCCGUCACACCUGGAUCUGUUGUUGACGUCUAAAGACGACCACAUCCCCAAGAAAAUGCUAUGAGUAAUUGAAAAAGAUUGCUAUGUAUAUGGAACAUGGACGACCGAAUAUACUUUUAUGCUAGGCCAAGUAACAAACGAGAAUCAUAUAAUCCAAGGUCUGAAUUAUGUAGGUAAUUUGUUGCUACUACACAUGCAUAUGCUUUUUUCACUUAGUGUAUGUAUUUGAGUAUUGAGACAAACACAAGAUAGAUUAUGUAUCUUGUUUGCAUUGUUCACCACCAAUUCGAGUUAGAGUUGUUGUUCGCAUUACUGUUUUAUUGUGAUCCGAACGCAGAUGUUAGUUGAAAAUUUGUAUGUGCAGAUUGCUGGGAUAAUGUCUAUUAUCUAAAAUACUCCCCAUAUGAAAACAUCUUAUGCAAAAUAGGUUGUAUUCCCUCGUUGUUCCGUAGUCCCCGUCUGAAAACAUAUCAAGGAACCAGAAAAGUUAAUAAUCAAGUGGUUCUUCAUAUCAUCUUUAGAAACUGAUAUGUGCUAUCAUGCUUUAGACA